AUGUGAACCGUCAUAACCCAAACACAAGAAUUAAACCCAGGCUCUCUUAUUUUCCUUCCUCUUUCAUUUUGCUCCAUCAAACAAGAGGGGAAGCCGACAAAGUUCUCAAAACUUCAAACAAACAAACAAAGGCGACAAACUUCCUCUCUAACUCGGCGACUCGACUCCAUCUUCACCGCAAGAGAUUCUUGAAAUUCCUCCAUGAAAAUCGAGGUUAUUCAAGCUUAAUCGAGCUUUUCAAUUUAAUUAAGCCAAUACAGCUGCAAGUUAGAGAUUAUUUGAGUAAAUAUUGAAGGAUGCAAGUUAGGUUUUCUCCAAAUUGAAGAUUCGAAUAUUGUUGCUUGCAGAUUCGUAUUAUCAGGAUGGAAGAAUUCAAAAGAGAGAAGUCGAAAUGGCACUGAAAAAGAUGGGCCGCAAGAGGGCAGUGGGGCCAGAUGGUAUACUUAUCGAAGUCUGGAGAUGUUUGGGAGAGAGAGGGGUUGUAUGGUUAACAACUCUUUUCAACAAGAUUUGGGGAAGUAAUAGGAUGCCAAUAGAGUGGAGGAAAAGUACAAUCAUCCCCUUGUAUAAGAAUAAGGGUGAUGUCCAGGAUUGUGCCAACUAUCGAGGAAUCAAACUAAUGAGUCAUACUAUGAAACUUUGGGAGCGGAUUAUUGAGCAAAGACUGAGGAGAAAUGUGAAAAUUUCGGAUAACCAAUUUGGAUUUAUGCCUGGGAGAUCGACUAUGGAGGCCAUUCAUCACGACUAGAAAUGAUAUCUAUAACGACCGAUAAAUAACGACCAAGCAAAUAAAUUUGUCGUUGAAAGACCUAAAAUGAAAAUUUGGCCCAAAAGAGCGCGGGUCAUUUUGCUAAUUUAAAUGAAAAAGAUGAGCCGAAUAAUUUUUAAUUUCGUUGUCGUCGUUAAUAUUCCAAGAAGUUCCAGUUACAUCUCUCCAAAACCUAGGUCAAAUGUAAAACACCAAAACCCCUAAAAGCUUUUGGUUUUCUUUCUUCUCUAAUACCACUUAGGCCAUGGCUAUAGACAAAAUUUCAGAAACCAUGUACUCCGAAUUAACAUAUGCUUUCAGAGUAAUCUUCUCAAAACUAAGAAUCUACACUCCCUCUUAAUCAGUCAGCUAUUAUCGACUCGGCGACGACGAAGACCGACAAUCCACAUCGAUAGCAUCAACAGCACCAGUACCGACACCACCCCUUGCCACUCUUGUUCAAUAUUCUAAAAGAGGGGAAAGAAAGCGCAUACCGUUUCUUCUAAAUUGGGUACCCCCAUUGAUCGGAGUGGAUGAUUUACAGCAAUGUAGGACAAGGGGAUGCUCUGUGCCGAAAUUCGGUGAUGGGGAGCCGUGGAGAAGGGUCUAAGUCUAUUUUCAUCUACUGCAGUUCUUGUCCAAAGGGUAGAUUUUUAUUUUCUUUGUGAAGAUGCUAAAAAAACAGGUUAACCACUACUCCUUAUUGGAUUACUGCUAACAUGCUUUUGUUUGACAUUCAUUGAAUCCUUAUUAAUUAAUCAGUAAUGAACAUUAGUUUUUGACAAUUUUUCUGAAUUUUCAUUUUCAUCAUUUAUAGUUGGUACUAGAAACUGGAAACUGGCCCUAUACAUAGUUUCCCAACUUCAGAAGAUUUUCCAGAACCUAAUUAACGGGUAGAUUCAGUGGCAAAGUACUAAUCCAAGACAGGUUGUUUAUAAAGAAAUUAAUCUUGUAUACAUUGAUAUUUAAUUAAUAAUAUGGUUUUCCGCACUCAUGGUUUAAUUUGGAAACUGGCCCUAUAUAGAGUACUAUCCACUGGUUCAUAAUUUCAUAUAAUUUGUUUAGGUGUGUUAGUGACGAUCAUUUAUCAACAAGUGGAGCAUAUGUUGGGAUAUCCCUGUCAGGAGAUCCUGAUCAUGGCAAACUGAAAUCAAGGGAAUCAUUUUUUAGGUACGUAGAGACAAGAUCGAAUAGAAGGUCUCCUCAUUAUCGACAAGUUUUUCUUAGCGAUCUUCAAAAUAGCCUUUGUGCCAGAGCAAGUUACUUGAAGUAAUAGAUGCUAAUGAUCUACCUGAAUUUUUAGGAGGUACCUGCACCUUUGCGGUCAAAAGUUGGUUUGCUUCAGAUGAAGGGGAUUAAAGCUACAUCUAUCCUUCAAAAUAAAGUGUUACCGGAUUAUGAAAGGCAAAGACUGGAGCGGUUGAAACGCAAUGCAGAUUUUAUGGCAGCUCAAGGAAGAGGAAGUUUGGCAGCCCAGAUAUAUGAUAAAUCCAAGUCUUUCGCUAAUACCAUUGAUGUAAUCAACACAUGGAAUGAUAAGCAAGUGUUUUCAGAUAAAGAUGACGAUGACGAUUAUAUGCCAGACUAUGAGGAUGAAGAUGGAUUGGGUUAUGAGAAUGUAAGAAUCAAUAAGAAGGUUGUUCCUCUGAUUUUUGAAAAUAACGGAGGGUCACCAAUACCUUCUGUACAACUGCCCCAUUUUAGUGAGAUCAAAAGGAUUACAUGCCAGGUCUGUGGGUCUGCAGAGCAAAGUCUGGUUCUAUGGCUACAUUUCUCAAGCAUAGUACAAAACAACAUGCAGAAAAUCACCUCGCGGAGCAACCUCCAGGAAGACAACCUCCAGAACUGGAACUUCCGGAAAAGCUGAAGGAAAUAAUGCCCUUGGUCCAAGUAUGCAUUCGAUGUUAAGUCUAAUAAAUGCGGUUCAGUAUUAAUUAACAAGUUAAUAAUUCAGUGAGAUCAAGUGAGCUGAAUGCCUAGCUAGAGGCCGCUUCAGUUCAUGUGGAAUUAAUGAUAUUAAUCCACAGCUUACUCUUGACUGAACCCGUAGGGUCACACAAAUAGUACGUAAACGGAUCAAGUAUUUAAUGGCAUUAGAUACUCCAUCUAUGGAUAUUCGGAAUCGACGGAUCUUGGUUUCAGUGGGAGCUGAGAUCGUCACAGGCAAGAAAUGAAUACUCCGGAAACGAUGAUAUUGCCGGAAACGGAAAUAUGGAUCGUAUCGGAAAUAUAAAUAUUAUCCAAGUCGUAGAUGUUGCCGGAAACGGAAACAUGAUACGUAUCGGAAAAUAUUAUCGGAAAUGGAAAUAUUGCCGGAAUCAGAAAUAUUGCCGGAAACGGAAAUAUUGUCAGAAUCGGAAAUAUUAUCGGAAUCGGAAAAUAAUUCCGGAAACGGAAAUAUUAAAUAUUUGUUCGAAACGGAAAUUGAUUCCGGAAUCGGAAAUAUUAAAUAUUGUUCGUAUCGGAAACGAAUUCCGGAAUCGGGAAUUUAAUCGGAAGCGUAUCGUACGAAUUAGCAUCGGACGAGGCCCGCUAGACGAAGGCCCAGCACGAAGCCAGGCCAUCGCCCAGCGAGCCAACACGCACCAUCGCAUGCCAAGCCUCGACCAGGCCCAGCGCAAGGCCAGGCCCAGCCAAGGACUGGGGCGCGCGCGCGAGAGCACAACAGUGGGCCGAGCGCUGUGCGCCUAGCGUGGGCCGCAAGGCUUGCGCGGGUGUACGGUGCUCAUGCAAUGCUUGUGCGGGAAUCCUAAAGCAAUCGGGAUUCGAAAUAUGAUUAAAUCCUAAAACUAUUAGAUAAUGAUUAUUUAAUUAGAGUCCUAGUAGGAUUAUAAUUAAAUAAAUUAGUAUCCUAAUAGGAUUCCAAAACCUUUUCCAUAACUCUAUAAAUAGGUGCCUAGGGUCACAUAUUUACAUAGAUUAUUCAAGUAUUCAAAGUAAGUUUUUGAGAGAAAAAUUCAGUCACAUACCUUGCCUAAAAGUGCCGAAAUUAUUAGUACCUUAAGGGCGAUUCUAGUUGGUCAAUCUUAAGGCGGAUCCGGACGUGCUGUGGACUAUCUACGGAGGGACGACACUUGGAGUCCUAAAGACUUGUUCUUGUUCGGUUCGGGCGCAGCUAGGGAGGGCACGCAACAAAGAGUAUGCAUCUAAAUUAUGUUAUAUGAUUAUGUGUAAAUAAUAUGUUGUCCUGGGUUAAUGGUUGUUUCCGCAUGAUCUAUGAAUUGUCAUAUGUAUCAUAACCUAACAGUGGUAUCACGAGCCCCUUAUUAUUUUCAUAAUCUAAAUUGCAUAAACAUGGUUAAAUAUUACAAAUUUGCAAGAAUUAAAAGGGGUGAUUAAUUUUCGUAAUUGUUAAUUAAUUGCAAAUUGCGUUUAUUUAAUUAUACGUACGCAGUUUUUCGGCAGUUUAUUCAUUACUCAUCCGAAUUGAGUGAUUUUUGUGUCAAUUCCGCAUGUAAAAGGCAUUCUAAAAUUUUGACAAAAAUAGUAUUUUUCUGCCGAACCCAGAAUUCUCAAAUUCGAAGCCUAACUAUGACUUUUCGAAGGUUUUAGUUUUUCGAAUGCAAAAUUUCGUAAAUUUAAGAUGUUAAAUUAAAUAUUUGCGAUUCUUGUUGAUAAAUCUUGAAUUUUUGAUUGACCUACUGCAUAUGUUUAACAAGUUUGAAUGCCUAGUCUUGUUAAUUAUGCAAUCUAAUUUGUAAUUAUGAUUAAUUUGUUGAAAAUUAGAAUAAUUUAGAAUUAAUUUGAUUUUCAUAAUUAAUUAUAAUUUAAUUAGAUACCUAUGAUUAAAAACCACCAUAAAAUUGUAAAUUUAUGAUAAAUUUUAAAUUUUUAUGACCUAGACUUGAAUCCAUGUUAAUCGGAAAUCAAUUGAAUAAUAAAUUUUUGAUUUUUCGCCCUAAAAUUAUGAAAUUAAUAUUAAUUUAUUAAUUUGUCAUUAAUUUUAAAUAUAAUUUUUUUAAAUUUUAUGCGAUUCGUUCAUAUAACUUACACGCACAAAGCAAUGGACGCUACGUGUUACCCUUAAGGGGUGUUGUAUAGUGCGGGCAUGUGACGACGAGCAAGGGAGCUCGUCGCCCAUGCGGCACGAAUGCAAUGAGCAAGGGCAUGGUGCACGAGCGCAAGGCAGCAACCCUGCCUUGCGUCGUGGGCUAUGAGCAAUGGACGAAUGGGCAUGGGCGAAGGCAAGGCACGGCAGUCGCGUGUGGGCAGCAAGCGAGCUGCGCCACAACGCGCACUGCCUCGCGCGCAGCGAGCGCAAGCUCGCGUGCCACGAGUGCUGCGCCCAGCGCCGAUGCCACGCGCAGCGAGCGCUGGCUCGCACCAAGCGAGCGCUAGCGAGCGCGCACAGCAUGCGCUGGCGAGUGCACGAAGCGAGCGCUAGCCCGCGUGCAUCGAGCGCUAGCGCGCGCGCAGCGAGCAUAUGCUCGCGUGUAUCGAGCGCUGGCGCGCGCGCAGCGAGCACCAGCUCGCGCGAUGGCUUGCGAAGGGUAGAAGCAGCAGCUAUGCGACGCAGCGCAUGGGCUGCGCGCACAUGGCCAGCGAUGGCUGUGUGCGUGAGGCCCAUGGGCGUGUGAUGCGUGAGGUGUUUGCGUUGCGAUUAGAUCGUUUUGAAAUUUUAAUUUGAAAUUUUCAGUUUACGUAAUUUGAAUUAAUUUUAAAAUUAAUAAUUUAAAUUAUUUUCUUGGAUUUUAAUUUUGAAUAUUGUAAUUAUAAUAAAUUAUAUUUAUUCUAUUUAUUUUACUAAAAUUAAAAUCAUGAAUUAAUUUAAAUACGACUGAAAUUAAAUUAAACUUUUUGGAUUCAAUUAUAAAUUUAUAUGAGCUUUAAAUUUUAAUUAAAUUUGUAUGUUUCCGGUUAGACUAGAAAUACAUUUUUAUGUUUAAAAUUAGUAAAGCAUAUGAAUUUAUUGGUUUAAGUGGAAGCCCUUUUAGUCAUAAACUCUUGAUUAGGUCUACAAAUCCUUAAGGUUAAAACAACUUGAUUAGAAUUAAUAAGGACUGAAUAAUUGGUAGAUUAUUAGUGCCCUUGAUUAAUUGCUGCAAAUGUUUACGUGAUGCAUAAUGUGUUUUACUAACCAGCUAUGUGGGCCAUUCAUGAUAAUGAAUGGGUGAAUGGUAUAUAUUGUAUAUGUACUGUUUUACAGGUUAUGAAGUGACUAGUAUGGCCCAAAUAGGAUAGAAAAUAUGGUCUGCGUACCAUUAAUUUGAAUGUAAUUGGUCUAAAGUACCAAAGUCGUUUUUCAAUUCAAAUAUGGUCUGCGUACCAUCAAAUAGUUGUAAUUAGUUUUAAUUAUAGCUUAUUCCAUUUGAAGAAAAUGGUACCUCCCACGGAGAUUUUCAAGACGGACUUUGAAGUUAAAGCUUCAAGAUGAAGUCGGGCCAUACUAGAUCACAUUUAUCUUAUGCAUGUUUUACGUUAUUUAUUGCUUUUAAAUAUGUCUUAAAAUGCAUGAGAUCAAAAGCUUGAUUAUGUUGCAUGAUUAAGGAUUUUAGUUCACUUAAAAUCUAACCAACAUAGUAAGAGCCUUAAGUUCCAAACUUAAAAAUUGAGUUAAAAGGUGCCAUGCCAAAAUAUACACUUGCUUGGAUAUCCUUUACAUCAAUCUAGUAAUAGUUUUCGCUCAGCGAGGUGUUACUUAUUGGUCCUAAAGGGGCAAGGUACACAAAUAAUUGUGAGUACAUGUUAGUUUUGGUGAAACUCAACGAUAUAAGUAAGGAGUCAUUUUAUGUCGUGGCAAAAUCGAUAGGUUUACCUAAUAAGUUCUUAGACGUACCUAUCAACCAAGAAUAGUUUCUAGACUAUUAGCAAAAGGCUUUUGCUUACCUAAGAUGUUUUAGGAUUAAGUCGACAAAUUGUGCUUAGUUCUUCAAUGAUUUUAGGAUCUUGGAAUCAUUUUAUUCACACCUGCCGGAACACAUAACUUAAAUAAAAUGCUUAAUAAACAUUGAAUUAUGCAUGUAUGCUAGAAUUUAAGUUUAUUAAGAGAAACUGUGAAUGGUUAUUUAUUUGUUUAUUCUUUUCAAUUGUAGUUUUUUAAUAUGGCAAACAACAAUUCAUUCAACAUUCGAUCAAUUCUCGAAAAGGAGAAGUUGAACGGGAAAAACUUCCUUGACUGGCAAAGGAACUUGCAAAUAGUUCUUAUGCAGGAAGAAAAGGAGUAUGUCCUAGAAGAGGCGAUGCCCGAAGCCGCAGGCGACGGGGUCACUCAGGCAGCCCUUAAUCGUUGGAUUGAUGCCAACAAGGAUGUGAAAUGUCUAAUGCUCGCCACCAUGAGUGCGGAUCUGCAGAAAACGUUCAUCAACUCAGAUGCUUUCACAAUCAUCAGUGAGUUGAAGAACAUGUUCCAAGAUCUGGCUCAAGUCGAAAGAUUCGAGACUCAUAGGCAAAUUCUUGAGACCAAGCUUAAGAAAGGCGAGCCCGUAAGUCCACAUGUUCUCAAAAUGAUUGGACUCAUUGAGAAUAUGAGUCGGCUGGAUCAGCAAUUUUCUCAGGAAAUGGCUAUAGACACCAUCCUCCAUUCUCUUCAUAGCGCGUAUGAUCAGUUCAAACUGAACUACAGUAUGAAUAGUCUGGACAAAACGCUCACUGAGCUUCACGGUAUGCUGAAGACCGCUGAAAAGACGCUCAAAAGUGAUAAGCAGGAUGUGCUUAUGGUGCGUGGGGGAAGUUCAAGAAAUCUGGAAAGAAGAGGAAUGCUAAGAAAGGUGGCAACAAGGCCAGCCCAACUAAGCAAACUGGCGCCAAAUCUGUAAAGAGGAAGGUCAGUCAACCCACUUCUGAAUCCGAAUGCUUCUACUGCAAGAAGAAGGGGCAUUGGAAAAGAGAUUGCUUGAAGCUAAAGGAAGAUCAGAAGAACGGAACAGUCGUUCCAUCUUCAGGGACUAAGAAGAAGUAGAAAGUUAAGCAAGGGUGAAGUCGACAUACGAGUGGGAAAUGGAGCACGGAUUGCUGCAUUAGCUGUAGGAACUUACUAUUUGUCGUUGCCCUCCGGGCUAGUUUUGGAACUGGAAGAAUGUUUCCAUGUU